rnacentral:lncRNA from 1 species
GUAUGAUUUCGUCCCUCAUUUCUGUUUAUUGUCUUCAUUUUUUCACCCUUUCUUAUCAUUGUUCUACUGGAUGCAGCCGCUGCCUAGAAGCUGGGUACGAUCCCCCAACUCAAGGACUAGAUUGUGAGCCUAAUAUAGCAAUCUACAUAUGUUGAGCACGCAUGGCGCGAUUUGGUGAAGGUAGAUGGGAGGCUAGUAGCCAUGGUAGGUUUCUCUCCUCGACUUU